CCUCUUCCCAACCGAGGCGGAAAACACUAUAUCAGCCAUGCCGGUCCUCGGGCCGGCUAUGGCGAUAAAUGAGCGGUGUAAUAAACCUAUUGGACCCGGGGGCGGUACCCGGCGCCUCCACCAAAAACCGGCGGCUUGCAACAAGAUGGCCGGCUUUUGAUGGGGGCGAAACAGGAUCGACAAGGGUGUAAAGAUCGUCUUUUUGCUCGGCAUUGUACCGCCGUUAUCGGGCUAAAAUUGUAGUUGCAAACGACAACUAUGCGGAAGCUCGUCUCGCUGCUUAAUCGCGGUGUGACACUUCAAAUAAAGCCCUAGUGGUUCGCACCUCUAGGCGGGGUCCGAAGGCACCUGGCAACAGAAGCCUUCACC
rnacentral:tmRNA from 2 species